UGCGAUUUGGUGUAAUUGGUAACAUCUUUGACUCAUGAUCAUUGGUUUUUGGUUCAAAUCCUUAAGUCGCCU
rnacentral:tRNA from 1 species